rnacentral:rRNA from 1 species
UACGUAGGGUGCAAGCGUUGUCCGGAAUUAUUGGGCGUAAAGAGCUCGUAGGCGGUUUGUCGCGUCUGCUGUGAAAACUCGGGGCUACAUCCGGCGCUGCAGUGGGUACGGGCAGACUAGAGUGCGGUAGGGGAGACUGGAAUUCCUGGUGUAGCGGUGAAAUGCGCAGAUAUCAGGAGGAACACCGGUGGCGAAGGCGGGUCUCUGGGCCGUAACUGACGCUGAGGAGCGAAAGCGUGGGGAGCGAACAGG